ACUCCAACAAACUUGUAAGCCCAUUCUUUUCUGAUAUCAGAAGCUAAGCAAAUUGGGCCUGGUUAGUACUUGGAUGGGAGACCACCCAUGAAUACCAGAUGAUGGAAGUU
rnacentral:rRNA from 1 species